rnacentral:sRNA from 1 species
GUGACUGCCAUUUUCAUACUUUUCUUCCCCUACCUUUAUAUUGGCUCAAAUAGGAUUCAGGAAGUAAUAUUGACUUAUUGUCAAUACAGAUUACAAUACUGUGCAUACUCAAAAGGUAUACUUCUUGGUUCUGAACCAUGUAUGAUCUUGGUUCCAUUACUAUAGGCAGAAAUAUUUUCAGAACAAAAUCUGCUUCCUAAAUGUCAUAGUUUAGGGCUCACCUGCUUUGUUUUGCAACAUACCCUGUUUUUGCUUUCUGUUUGUUUGUUUUGUUUUGUUUUUUGGAAAACUGCUUUUAUUUGUUGUAGCACAAAAGUGUUAUUUAGCCUAUAAUUUAAAAUUAAUAUUUUGUAAUUACAUCCUUGAUUUAUAUGAAAACAAGUCACUAGACCAUUUAUUUCACUUCUUAGUGUGUUUUUAUUGAAUUUCACCAGGUCCAUUAAUGAACAUAAGAGGAAGGACCUUGGAAAGGAGUAUAUCUCUUACAUAUUCACAGAAGCUUAUGCCAAGCAGGAAUACUGUGUAUAAGACCUAAAUUUCAUUGGAAGAACCUGACUGAGGAAGUGAAAAGAAAAGGAUGGGAAAUAGGAAAACAUUUGAAAAUAAGGCUGUUGACAGGCUGGAGAGGAAGGAGGAGAUUGAAAUUUUAAAUUAUGCUACCUGAAACAAUGUAUUUUCAUGGAUACAGAUAUGUCUUUGCCUAUUUAAAAAAGUACUAGUUACUAUGAGGUAGGAUUUAUCCAUGUCAGUUAUAGUACAAUAUGCUUUAGAAAUUUAAUUCCUGGGGACUUAAAUUGAAAGUUAGUGGUAUGGUUAUUUAAAAACUCAUUAAAAACAAUUUAAAAAGAGAUAAUUUCUCACUGUAAUUGUGUACUUUUCUCCAUUUCCAUUGCUUAUAUAGAUACUUAUUGCCUCUUCUUACCAUCUUUUAAAUGAUGUUUAGUUACUUAUAAUAGUUUUCUUUAUGUGAGCAUAGUUAUAAACACACAUGAUAGUAUAAAAUAAUACAAAGAAUAGUGUACUCUAUCUUACUUAUCAGUUUGUAAAUACUCAUUUGUGUGUGUGUGUGUGUGUGUGUGUGUGUGUGUGUGUGUGUGUGUGUGUGUGUACUUUUAACGUGGGUGAGGCAUGUGCCUUGAGAGUGUGGCAGUUGCCGUGGCAACAGAAGCAAGCAGGUCUUUGUUACCUAAAGAUGAUGUCACUGCUGGAUUCAGAGGCUAGCUGUAAACCACUUCUGAUGAUAACAUACCUCCCUUUUUCUUAUCAUAGAGAGAAGAAAAAAGGGAAAUAGGGGAAGCCGAUGCUAAAAGGGAAAUAGGGGCUUUAGACAUCUUAAACUGCUCCCUGCUGUCUAGGAGCAUUAUCAGUUUUGGGGUGUAGCUGACUUUUACCAUCCGGGUCCACUUGAUAAUUGUGUAAAAGGAACUGUUUGAGUUUUCAGUUAGAAAAUUUUGACUUUUUCUUUGAAGGAAUGUGGAAACAAGAUUAAUGAGGCAGGGAGGAAAUAGUAGCUCCAGGAAAAUGGAGAGAAGAGGCAUUAAGAAGGGCAGUAUCCUAUUUCCAUGUAGGGUUUUGAAAAACCCAGGAAUUGGAGGCCUCAUGCUGUUCCCUACAUUUCUAGAUGUCUGGUUGCAGCUGAUGGAAUUUAUUUCUUACUGCCCCAGAUUCAAUGACAUAGAAACAGCAUUCUUCCUGGAGAAACAGACAAAGACCACCUUCUUUAGCUGUCAGAACAUCUAGUCCCUGUCAGUUCUUAAGCACAACUGGUGCCAAAGAAUCGAUCUUUUUCUGGAUUAUGAGCAUGGUUUCAUACAUUCCUUGGAAACCGUUGUCAAGCUGGGAUAAGAACUUCAUGUAUAGGGUUACGGAAAUCGUCGGCCCUGCUCUUCAAGUGCCAGCACCUGUAGCUACUUCUACAGCAACCAGGAAUAGCACAACCUGCAGUGCCCUCUUAUGCUGGACAGGUAUAUGUCAAAAACUGGAAUUGGUAAAGAUUCUUUGCCAUGUAUUACUCCUAGUUCAGGGAAGGAACACCAGUGUGCAAACUCCUCUUGACCAGCUGGCAGGUAUGCUACAGGUACAAAGGAGAGUCCCAGUUGGUGACCUAAAUUUCCAAAUGUUGGUAUCAGGAACUGCUUUUGCCUCCAGCAAUGAUGUCAUCUGGUCACCUGAGCAUCUGUUGUCAAGGCAACGGUCAUCCAUUUCCAGCAUACAUUUCAUGUUACAGUCACACCACAUUUCACAUAAAAGGCAGAUCCUUUCUGCCCUCUUCCUCUUCUCUCUCCUCUCUUCCCUUUUUCUCCUCUCUUUCUCUCCUACCUCUCUUCACCCCUUGGCCUUUGUCUCUAUCAUUCCAAUAAACCUCUCCACGUGGAGCCCUGUUGGCCUGGUGUGGUUUGUCCAGACGUGAGCCAUAGAGCCUCUCUGUAAAAGACAAUGUAAAAGGUGGUAUGUGUAUGGCUACUUAAAAAGACAACCAAAAGCCAUCAGUGGCUGAACAAAGAGGAAAGUGAAAGGAAAUGGAUUCAUGGGAGUUCAAUCAACCAGAUAACAUUUUACAUUUUAUACCCAGGUUUGGUGCCUUAGGAGAACAGCCUAUAGUAUUGUUGGUGACCUCCAAAGGAGCUGGGAGUUGGGUUGAAUCUUGUGAAAAGAUCAAAUACAGAGAACUCAUUCUGAACCGUACAGAUUCCAUAGGAUGCUUUAUGCUAAGAAAUAUAAUGUCAGUGCUGGAAUAUUGUUAUUGGUUAAAACUUAGGCUUUAAUACCAAAGUACUCAUUUUGGUUCAAACUGAAUUUGAACUCCUGCAGCAUGAAAUACCGAAGAGGGCACCAUCCCAUUUUACCCCAUAUACUAGCAGGUCACAUGGCACCAAUGGGUCAUUUGGCCCUGGUGGGCUGUUCUCAUCUUGACAGACUUUCUGGCCUGUAGCUCUAGAAAUCUCUUCACCCAAUUUGCUAAGUCUCUUUAGAAAGUUACUACCAUGACAAACCUCAUAUUUGAGCAUCCAAAUUUAUCGGCUGCCUGGGGGUGGGGGUGGUAGUGGGGCUGUACCUAUCUCUGGAAAUCAGUUGAGAAGCUGUGUGAAGGCAAACACCACACAAACUCAGUUUAGAAUCAACAGGUAAUUCAAUCACUGGGUACAACUACUAACAUCCUUACUAGUAAGCCAUAGUAAAUGAAAUCCCUCAGUGGCUGAUCCUGACUGAUCGGAAAUCUAAGUGGGAGGCUCUAGUUCAUUCUAUCACCUACCCCAAGUUCUCCCACAAUCCAACAAUCCACAAGCCCCUUUUCUCAUCCUCUCUUUCUCCCUCCAACCUGGAAGUCUAACCUGGAAGUAUAUGUCCAGUGAUUGGUGCCCUGAAACCUUUAUUCAGUAAGGAAAAGACCUUGC